UACGUAGGGUGCAAGCGUUAAUCGGAAUUACUGGGCGUAAAGCGUGCGCAGGCGGUGAUGUAAGACAGGUGUGAAAUCCCCGGGCUCAACCUGGGAACUGCAUUUGUGACUGCAUCGCUGGAGUGCGGCAGAGGGGGAUGGAAUUCCGCGUGUAGCAGUGAAAUGCGUAGAUAUGCGGAGGAACACCGAUGGCGAAGGCAAUCCCCUGGGCCCGCACUGACGCUCAUGCACGAAAGCGUGGGGAGCAAACAGG
rnacentral:rRNA from 1 species